GUUUCAUGGCCCAUGUGCAGCCACCCGUCUGCAAAGCCUUGGGAAAGGCUCUCUCUGAUCCAUCAUGGUUGUUUGCUUUGUUUCUCUAAAUAACAGCAGAUUACCUCUGCACACACUUUUUUUUUUUUUUUUUUUUACUCUCAAAGUGUGUUUACAGCGCUUAGGCCAUGUGAAGCCAUCCCAAAGAGGCCAGCUGCACCUGGGGCGGGGCCAAGCAGGGAGAAGGCCGGGUCCAGAGGGCCCGGGAGUCUUCACACGGACGAUGCUCAGGGAAACCGCGAGGCCCAACUUCUGCUUCAGGGACUGCAGCAUCCCAGGGAAGAGGAGCCUGGUAGUGACAGCUGGAGGCAGGGAGGCCGUGACAAACUGUCCCAGUGACCCGGCAGGAGGCCAUGAGCCAGCAGAGAGAGAGAGCUGCAGUGGAGGUAGAGAAGGAAUCGGCUUUCUCCUGGGUCUGUGAACAGCAUCGUAGCCGACUUCGCCUCCUCUAGGACCCGCCAGGCUGCCCGCCAGAGUGGUUACCAUGAAGACCGGAUGAGUGACCCAGUGGCAAACCCUGGGCACCUGCUGAGCAGUCCUCUGUGAAUCACCACUCCUCACCCUCCAGUUGCCAUGGACACCCAGGUUGAAGGUCACAUAACCUGAGCAUGCCCAGAUGAACCAAGCAUGCACCCACGGGCAGAACUAAGUGCUCGGACCUAGGAGCAGGGACUGAAUUAAGAAGCAGAUGCCACACAGCAAGAUCCAGGAUCCAAUCAGAUUGAGCCCUGGCAUCACCCCAUCGCAUGAUCCAGUCAGAUCACGCCUCCAGGCAUCACAUUAUUGUAAGAUCCAAUCAGAUCACACCUCAUUACCCUAUGCUUAUAAAAUCCAACCCAAACCCCAGCUUGUGGAGACAGAUUUGAGUGUUUCCUCCUGUCUUCUUUUCAGUCGACUCACAAUAAGCCUUUCUCACUGCAAAAAGCCAGUGCUUUCGUGUUUGGCUUUCUGUUGUAUGGGUGCAAAUGGACACAGUUUGGUUUGGUGACACCACUGCUCUUGCAUUUGCCCCCAUCCUGAAUUUUCUUUGAGCUCCUUUGGAAGAAGUUCAUGCCUUCGCCUCCCCUCAUUCAGUCUGUUACAACAGUCUCCCAACUAAUCUUGUUUCUCCUCAUUUCACCUUCCAGGUAGUUGCCUGAGAGCUCUCUAGCAUGCAGGUCUGAGCAUGUGGCUCCCAACUUCAAAAUCUUCAGUUUGGCAUUCAAGACUGUCUUUGCUCUUCAUCCCUGUGUGCAGGGGUUCUUUUCACCCUUCUAUGUGAAGCCCGUGCAGCCCCCUCCUGGCAGGUGAAGGUACUCGAUUCCUUGAGCAGGCAGGUGGAGGGGCUCGAUCCCUUGACUUCCUCGCGGCACCAUGAACAGCCGCCAUUGUAAACUGCUUCCUCUGUGAUAUGGUUUGGAUAUUUGUCCCCACCAAACCUCAUGUUGAAAUGUGAUCCCCAGCAUUGGAGGUGAGGCCUGGUGGGAGGUAUUAGGAUCAUCAGGGCAGACCCCUCAUGAAUGGCUUGGUGCCAUCCUCUUGGUGAUGAAUGAUUUGUCACUCUGUUAGUUCACACGAGAGCUGACUGUUGAAAAGAGUGUUGCACCCCUCCUCUCUCUCUUUGUCUCCCUUUCUCACCUCUGCUCCCCCUUUGCCUUCCACCAUGAUUAAAAGCUUCCUGAGGGCUUCCCCAGAAGUAGAUGCUAUUGCCACUCCUCUCGUACAGCCCGCAGAACCAUGAGCCAAAUAAAUCUCUUUGCUUUAUAAAUUACCCAGCCUCGACUACUCCUUCAUAGCAAUGCAAAACAGAUGAACAUGCCAUCAUCCCGGAUAGCUCUGAUUACCCAUCCCUCCCCACUAGGCCAUGAGUUU
rnacentral:lncRNA from 1 species